UUUAAUAAGUAGGCAAUUGCUGUUAAUAAUUUGAGAUUAUAUCAAUAUUAAUUAUUAGCAGAGGAAAGUCCGAACACCCUCUUUUAUAGAGAAGUAAGUAGUUGUUAACAACAACCGACUAUUUUUAUAGUUAGGGAAAGUGUCACAGAAACUAUACCGCUUCGAUUUAUUCGAAGUAAGGGUGAAAAGAGUGGAGGUAAGAGCUCCCAAUUUUAAUUGGUGACAAUUAAAAAUGACAAACCCUACUUGGUGCAAGAUCAAAUCGUUAACUAUUGUUAACAGGUGGAUCGCUCUGAAUUUAACAGCAAUGUUAAAUCAAGAUAAAUAAUUGCCAGCUAUUAAUUUAAUAGCCACAGAAUUCGGCUUAUUCUUAUUAAAGAAA
rnacentral:RNase_P_RNA from 1 species